GGCACAAGUGUAGGGGAUGUGGGAUGGCCUCUUUUGUAAGGCUUGGGGAUGUGGGAUGGCCCCCUCUGUAGGGCUUGGGGAUGCAGAAUGGCCCCUUCUGUAAGGCUGUAGGGCUGUAGGGCCUGGAGUUGUGGGAUGGCCUCUUCUGUAGAGCUGUAGGGGACUGCUCAGGGCUGUGUGUUGGAGGCAGCACAUGGCAUUGCCCGUCCAUGGGGCCGUGGCCGUGGAACAGCUCAGCAGGCUGAAAGGUCUCCGUGUGAGCCCCGGCUGCAGGCAUCUCUGUGAGCCCCAUCAGCCCCAUGGCAGCCCCGGGGACGUCUCCCCAUGCAGAUGCAUUCCCUCAGCCCCUCUGAGAGAGGAAUCUCCAGAUGCUCCCCAGCUCCCACCUCUGUCUUAGGGACAGCAUCACUUCUGCUGUCACUUCGAAUCGCUGUUGUGCUGCUGGGGACCAGCUGCUGUGACGGCUGCAGGCCCUGCUGCCCUUCAAGGGGAAGAAGCUGGGUGAAAAGGAACGAAAUUUGGGUAUCCACAGCAAAAGAGCCAAACUGAGGCCACCGAGCAGGAAGGGCAGAGCAGCCCCGCAGUGCUCCCACUGAGUCCCCUUACCAACAGCAGACUCCUUGGGGACCGGGCUGAUGCACAAGCAGCAGUCUGAACACAUUGCGGAUCAUCUGCAUAAUUUAUUCCUCUUGUGAAGAGUUUAAUUUAUCAGGCCCAAUAAUAAACUCAUGCAUCUUUGCCUGUUAUCGGAGCUGGGAGGAGAUGCUCGUGCUCUAAGCAUUGAAUUGAUCCCCGGAGCUGCUUCCCAUGCAGACGGGUGCUGUGGCAUUAUGGGAUGCACGCUCACACGGUCAGUGUUGUGCCAGGUCUCUGUCACGGGAGGACAGAGGGAUGGGAAGGAGAGGAGCAUCCAGACCUGGCUGGCAACUCGCUGAGUUCCAGCCCUCUCUGCCUUCCCUUGUGAGUGGCAUCAGCUCAUAAGGGGCGACGUGAGGAGCGUUUCCCUUCUCAGCUCCAGGUUCCUCUGCACUUUCCGCUGCCCUGAAG
ensembl:lncRNA